UACGAGGGGGGCUAGCGUUGUUCGGAAUUACUGGGCGUAAAGGGUGCGUAGGUUGUUUGGUAAGUUAGAUGUGAAAUCCUCAAUUUCAAGUUGAGAACUGCAUUUAAUACUGCCAAACUAGAGAGUAGUAGAGGAUAGUGGAAUUCCAAGUGUAGGGGUAAAAUCCGUAGAUAUUUGGAGGAACACCAGAGGCGAAGGCGGCUAUCUGGGCUAUUUCUGACACUGAGGCACGAAAGCGUGGGGAGCAAACAGG
rnacentral:rRNA from 1 species